rnacentral:tRNA from 4 species
GGGCCUAUAGCUCAGUUGGUUAGAGCAGAGGACUCAUAAUCCUUUGGUCGCAGGUUCGAAUCCUGCUGGGCCCACCA